rnacentral:lncRNA from 1 species
CUUGAGAAAAAAACCAGGUGACCAAGAGGUAGGAAUGGGAAGGAGAGUUUUCCCUCUGUGUCCCUUCAUGUUUUUGAAAUGCAGAACCUUCUAACUACAUGGCCUAUAAAAAAAAAAAUAAGUAAAAUAAACACAGUUAAGUGACACUGUGGUUCUUGGCAGGGAGCCAACGUUGUCAUGGUCACUGGCUGCAGCUGUUACACUGGCGUGGUCACCUACAGUGACAUCUACUGGUGCUUCCUAACAGCACUGUUAGGUCAGUAUUUUUCAAACUUGAUUUCAAAGUGGGCCAUGGAACCAAUGUAGUGGGUCCAACCAGCAUUAAAAAAGAAAGAAAGAAAGAAAGAAAGAAAGAAUAGAAAAUAUCAGAGUACAUAACAAGUAGUAAAGGAAGUCACCAUCUUCGGUGGGGACCUUUCUCAGACAAUCUAUUCUUCCACAAUUCUCCUUGAGCAACCAAGAUAUUAACGGGGAAGACUUGAAGUUUCUAUGCUGCUUGAUCCAGAAUUUUCUCACCAUGGAUGUGGGGUUCUCACCUUUGAAGGAAAUGGAAACGGUACAAACCAGCAUUUGAGUGAAUGAACACUGAAAAUGCAUGCUGCAACCAACCACUGGAUCAGGUUGGAUAAUUGUUUUCCUCAAUCCUAUGACAAAAAGAGUUGGAGGCGUCAGGAAGAGCAAGAACAAUUUGGCUCUCAGUGAAUUUUUAAUAAACAAUGUGUUGCAUCAAGAACAAUUAAAUGCUUUUAAAUGUAAGAUAAUUUUACUUAGACAAAUGGUUUUUGAGAAGUACUUUCAAGACAGA